rfam:Desulfuromonadales bacterium C00003094 3datasets_contig_184631, whole genome shotgun sequence.
GUGUUAACUGGGCAAAGCUGGGGAAAUUCGGUGACGCAAAGCCACGGGUCCUUAAAGGAUCGCCGGGUUGCAGAU